rnacentral:rRNA from 1 species
CGGGGCCCGAGUUGUAAUUUGUAGAGGGUGUUUCGGGUGCGGCGCCGGUCUAAGUUCCUUGGAACAGGACGUCAUAGAGGGUGAGAAUCCCGUAUGCGACCGGUGACCAACCCCAUGUGAAACCCCUUCGACGAGUCGAGUUGUUUGGGAAUGCAGCUCAAAAUGGGUGGUAAAUUUCAUCUAAAGCUAAAUACCGGCCAGAGACCGAUAGCGCACAAGUAGAGUGAUCGAAAGAUGAAAAGCACUUUGGAAAGAGAGUCAAACAGUACGUGAAAUUGUUGAAAGGGAAGCGCUUGCAACCAGACCUGCCCCUGGGCGAUCAGCCGUUAUUCUUAGCGGUGCACUCGUCCUUGUUCAGGCCAGCAUCGGUUCGGGCGGCCGGAUAAAGGCCCCGGGAAUGUAGCUCCCCUCGGGGAGUCUUAUAGCCCG